AAAGUCGUAACAAGGUUUCCGUAGGUGAACCUGCGGAAGGAUCAUUACUGAGAGUACUGGGCUCUGCCUAGCUACUUUUACCCAUGUUUUUUGAGUACUUACGUUUCCUCGGCGGGUUCGCCCGCCGACUGGACAAAAUUAAACCCUUUGUAAUUGAAAUCAGCGUCUGAAAAACAUAAUAGUUACAACUUUCAACAACGGAUCUCUUGGUUCUG
rnacentral:misc_RNA from 1 species